CUGAACCAGCCAAGUAGCGUGAAGAAAGACUGCCCUAUGGAUUGUAAACUUCUUUUAUACAGGAAUAAAGUCAUCCACGUGUGGAUGUUUGUAUGUACCAUAUGAAUAAGGAUCAGCUAACUCCGUGCCAGCAGCCGCGGUAAUACGGAGGAUCCGAGCGUUAUCCGGAUUUAUUGGGUUUAAAGGGAGCGUAGGCGGGCUUUUAAGUCAGUUGUGAAAGUUUGCGG
rnacentral:rRNA from 1 species